UACGUAGGGUGCAAGCGUUAAUCGGAAUUACUGGGCGUAAAGCGUGCGCAGGCGGUUAUGCCAGUCAGAUGUGAAAUCCCCGGGCUUAACCUGGGAACCGCAUUUGUGACUGCAUAGCUGGAGUACGGCAGAGGGGGAUGGAAUUCCGCGUGUAGCAGUGAAAUGCGUAGAUAUGCGGAGGAACACCGAUGGCGAAGGCAGUCCCCUGGGCCUGUACUGACGCUCAUGCACGAAAGCGUGGGGAGCAAACAGG
rnacentral:rRNA from 1 species